rnacentral:lncRNA from 1 species
GGUGGGGAGGUCAGCCUCGCGCCUAGCUCAGAGCAGAGCCAAAUAAACCUAAACCUCCCGGAGCUCGCUGCUUACUGACGUUGGAAGCGUGGCUGGGAGGGCAGGGAAGUGCAGAACGGCAGCGUCAGCCGGAGCCGGGCACUCGGGGCUCGUUCAUCAUCAGAUCUAUCCCGGGCGCUGGAAGAGGAGGACGUGCACCCUGAGGUCCCAGACCCGGCGUCUUCUCCGAACCAGGUGUGCUGUUCCGGGGUGCAUCUCUUUUAGUGCAACGUCCGCAAGACCGAGGCCAGGGGACCGGGAGAGAUUUCAAGGGGACUGAAAAGAAGCGGUGGGCGGGGGCUGGACAGCCGGGCCGGGAGGGGGCUGGGCUCCGGGGAGGCGAGGCCCCGGGUGGGUGGGGCCGGACGUGCAGGCCCCGCCCGGGCUGCGGGCUGCGGGGUGCGGGGUGCAGGCUGCGGGGUGCGGGGUGCGAGGCUCGGCCCCGGCGGCGCGUCCAGGCCGCUGCGGGUGGCCGGUCGGGCCCGCGGCGUCCGAGGCCGGCGCCAGGCUCUUCCGGGGCCAGGGCGGUCCGGGCCGUCCGUCCGCGGACACCUCCGCACGCCGACGGGAGCCGCCGGGCGGUACCGCCCCCGAGGGCAGCCCGGCCACGGGGACCCAGCGAGGCCUCGCAGGGGAAGGCGGUCGGCCCCGCGCGCGCGCAGCCCGGUCCGCUCCGCUCCGCCCCGCCCGCUGGCUGCGCGGGGGGCGCUGGGAGCCGCGGCCACGCAUGCGCCGCCCGCCACCGCGCGCCGCGGGGUCCCGGGAGGCCUCCUCGCGGGCGCGGGGCUUCCGUGUGGCGGACUCUCGCGAGAGCGCGCGGCGCGGCGCGGCCACUCGCCGCCGGGGGACUUGAGAAGCGAGGAGGGGGCGGAGGGACACAGCCGGGGCCGAGCGCACGUUUUGCGGGAGAAGAUGGCACAGUGUGGAAAAGGAGAGUGGGCGGCUUCCCUCGGCCGCGGAGUCUGGGAGGCGGGGAGACGUCUCUGAGAACUUUAGUGUACUACUGA